rnacentral:rRNA from 1 species
GAGAGUUUGAUUCUGGCUCAGAGUGAACGCUGGCGGCGUGCCUUCUACAUGCCAGUCGAACGGAGAUUAACUAGCUUGCUAUUUAAUCUUAUUGGCGUUCGGGUGAGUAAUAUAUAGCUAAUCUGCCCUACACUACAGGACAACAUUUGGAAACGACUGCUAAUACUCUGUACUCCUUCUAAGCAUAAGCUUACUCGGGAAAGUUUUUCGGUGUAGGAUGAGGCUAUAUCGUAUCAGCUAGUUGGUGAGGCAAUGGCUCACCAAGGCUAUGACUCGUAACUGGUCUGAGAGGAUGAUCAGUCACACUGGAACUGAGACACGGUCCAGACUCCUACGGGAGGCAGCAGUAGGGAAUAUUGCUCAAUGGGGGAAACCCUGAAGCAGCAACGCCGCCUGGAGGAUGACACUUUUCGGAGCGUAAACUCCUUUUCUUGGGAAAGAAUUAUGACGGUACCCAAGGAAUAAGCACCGGCUAACUCCGUUCCAGCAGCCGCGGUAAUACGGAGGGUGCAAGCGUUACUCGGAAUCACUGGGCGUAAAGGACGCGUAGGCGGAUUAUCAAGUCUCUUUGUGAAAUCUAACGGCUUAACCGUUAAACUGCUUGGGAAACUGAUAAUCUAGAGUAAGGGAGAGGCAGAUGGAAUUCUUGGUGUAGGGGUAAAAUCCGUAGAGAUCAAAGAAGAAUACCCAUUUGCGAAAGCGAUCUGCUGGAACUUAACUGACGCUUAAUGCGUGAAAGCGUGGGGAGCAAACAGGAUAGAUACCCUGGUAUCCACGCCCUAAACGAUGUAUACUAGUUGUUGCUUCGCUAGUCGAGGCAGUAAUGCACCUAACGGAUUAAGUAUACCGCCUGGGGAGUACGGUCGCAAGAUUAAAACUCAAAGGAAUAGACGGGGACCCGCACAAGCGGUGGAGCAUGUGGUUUAAUUCGAAGAUACGCGAAGAACCUUACCCGGACUUGAUAUCUAACAAAUCAUCCAGAGAUGGAAGAGUGUCUGCUUGCAGAAAUGUUAAGACAGGUGCUGCACGGCUGUCGUCAGCUCGUGUCGUGAGAUGUUGGGUUAAGUCCCGCAACGAGCGCAACCCACGUAUUUAGUUGCUAACGGUUCGGCCGAGCACUCUAAAUAGACUGCCUUCGUAAGGAGGAGGAAGGUGUGGACGACGUCAAGUCAUCAUGGCCCUUAUGUCCGGGGCGACACACGUGCUACAAUGGCGUAUACAAUAAGACGCAAUAUCGCGAGAUGGAGCAAAUCUAUAAAAUACGUCCCAGUUCGGAUUGGAGUCUGCAACUCGACUCCAUGAAGCCGGAAUCGCUAGUAAUCGUAGAUCAGCCAUGCUACGGUGAAUACGUUCCCGGGUCUUGUACUCACCGCCCGUCACACCAUGGGAGUUGAUCUCACUCGAAGCCCAAAUACCAAACCGGUUAUGGUCCACAGUGGAAUCAGCGACUGGGGUGAAGUCGUAACAAGGUAACCGUAGGAGAACCUGCGGCUGGAUCACCUCCUU